UACGUAGGGUGCAAGCGUUAAUCGGAAUUACUGGGCGUAAAGCGUGCGCAGGCGGUUUUGUAAGUCUGUCGUGAAAGCCCCGGGCUCAACCUGGGAAUUGCGAUGGAGACUGCAAGGCUUGAAUCUGGCAGAGGGGGGUAGAAUUCCACGUGUAGCAGUGAAAUGCGUAGAGAUGUGGAGGAACACCGAUAGCGAAGGCAGCCCCCUGGGUCAAGAUUGACGCUCAUGCACGAAAGCGUGGGGAGCAAACAGG
rnacentral:rRNA from 1 species